UUGAAGGUAACGCUUUACAACCACAGUCCUUUUCUUAUAGAAAAUGCUAAACGUAAAAUCCCUGCGCGUGACACUCCAGUCCGCGCUGGCUCGUAUUUCAUUUACACAGCGGGGGAAUUACAGCUUGGACUUUGAAUGCCAAAUAGGGCAAGAUCUGUCCAUAGACUCAUGUGACACCACGAGCAAAAAUAGAUCCGAUCAGAUGUGGAAACGCCCCAUGCAUCAGACUCUAUAAGACCACACAGACCAGUGAAUCUGUUUCGCCACAAGACACUCACUACCCUCAGCCGAAGAUACUAAGAUACAGUUUAGACUACAGUGUCCAGAGCCGCACUGAUCUUUGUGCGAUUUGUGAAGAUGGCCUUUAAUGGUUUGAGCACAAGAAAUCCCAAAAGGAAUAUAAAUAUCCACACACCCGAUGCCACGUAAAGAAAAAAUACUCUUCAUGGAAUUACCAUCUAAAUGAUAGUCCCUAAAAUUAGGGCUGAAGGUCACCUUUACACAUUUACUUCUGAUGGCGAGAAAACAGGUGAGGAAUGCCUUUUUGCCUUUCAAGGAGCUGUUCAAACGACCUUGUAAAUCAUGGAAUAUGUAAAAUGCUUGGGAUAAAAGUGGGAGCGAAUCGCAAAAAAUGGAUAUACAUGGAAGAAUAAAACGACAAUGGUCAAGAUGUCAAUGGUCAAAAUGUUUAUUCAUCUCAUUUUGCCGUGCGCAGCUGUGUGCGUAAAAGCGCACGUCUCCAAAUGCGCACCAGAAACACAAUAGCGCUCCAAUGCGCCACUGAAUGCUUUUUGCUAUCGAAUUGUAAUUGUGGCACAAAACAGGUCUUAGGUUUUUUAGGAUAAAUCUGCACAUGUAUUUCAAAAUACGUCCUUUGAUAUUUUUGUCCAUUGGUAAAUAGAGCCUAUUUUCUAGAUGUUUGUUUGGCUAGGCUGAUCAUUAAAAUGAAUAAAACAAGAGUUAUUCUGGCUGAA